AAUGGGCGGAAGCCUGACGCAGCAACGCCGCGUGAGUGAAGAAGGCCUUUGGGUUGUAAAGCUCUGUCGACAGGGAAGAAGUUAAUGUAGUUUAAUAGAUUAUGUUAUUGACGGUACCUGAGAAGGAAGCAUCGGCUAACCCCGUGCCAGCAGCCGCGGUAAUACGGGGGAUGCAAGCGUUAUUCGGAAUUAUUGGGCGUAAAGGGCGCGUAGGCGGUUUUAAAAGUCAGAUGUGAAAGCCCGUGGCUCAACCACGGAAGAGCAUUUGAAACUAUGGAACUUGAGUACGGUAGAGGAAAGCGGAAUUCCUGGUGUAGAGGUGAAAUUCGUAGAUAUCAGGAGGAACACCGGUGGCGAAGGCGGCUUUCUGGGCCUGUACUGACGCUGAGGCGCGAAGGCGUGGGUAGCGAA
rnacentral:rRNA from 1 species